rnacentral:rRNA from 1 species
CAGCCGCCGCGGGAAUACGUAGGUGGCAAGCGUUGUCCGGAAUUAUUGGGCGUAAAGGGCUCGCAGGCGGUUUCUUAAGUCUGAUGUGAAAGCCCCCGGCUCAACCGGGGAGGGUCAUUGGAAACUGGGAAACUUGAGUGCAGAAGAGGAGAGUGGAAUUCCACGUGUAGCGGUGAAAUGCGUAGAGAUGUGGAGGGAUACCAGUGGCGAAGGCGACUCUCUGGUCUGUAACUGACGCUGAGGAGCGAAAGCGUGGGGAGCGAACAGGAUUAGAGACCCCUGUAGUCCCUGUCUCUUAUAA